rnacentral:rRNA from 1 species
UACGUAGGGGGCGAGCGUUGUCCGGAUUCAUUGGGCGUAAAGAGCUCGUAGGCGGCUUGGCAAGUCGGGUGUGAAAACUCCAGCUCAACCUGGAGACGCCACCCGAUACUGCCAUGGCUUGAGUCCGGUAGGGGACCACGGAAUUCCUGGUGUAGCGGUGAAAAUGCGCAGAUAUCAGGAGGAACACCGGUGGCGAAGGCGGUGGUCUGGGCCGGUACUGACGCUGAGGAGCGAAAGCGUGGGGGAGCGAACAGG